GAUGAACGCUGGCGGCGUGCCUAACACAUGCAAGUCGAGCGAACCACUUCGGUGGAGAGCGGCGAACGGGUGAGUAACACGUAGGUCAUCUACCCAUUAGACGGGGAUAACGUUUGGAAACGAACGCUAAUACCGGAUAGGAAGAAAUUUUAAAGGUGCUUUCGGGCACCGCUAAUGGAUGAGCCUGCGGCGCAUUAGCUAGUUGGUAAGGUAAGAGCUUACCAAGGCGACGAUGCGUAGCCGACCUGAGAGGGUGAACGGCCACACUGGGACUGAGACACGGCCCAGACUCCUACGGGAGGCAGCAGUAGGGAAUCUUCGGCAAUGGACGAAAGUCUGACCGAGCAACGCCGCGUGAAUGAAGAAGGCCUUCGGGUUGUAAAAUUCUGUUAUAAGGGAAGAAAGACUAUAGUAGGAAAUGGCUAUAGAGUGACGGUACCUUAUGAGAAAGCCACGGCUAACUACGUGCCAGCAGCCGCGGUAACAC
rnacentral:rRNA from 1 species